rnacentral:rRNA from 1 species
AACGAACGCUGGCGGCAUGCCUAACACAUGCAAGUCGAACGAGACCUUCGGGUCUAGUGGCGCACGGGUGCGUAACGCGUGGGAACCUGCCUUUAGGUUCGGAAUAACUCAGAGAAAUUUGAGCUAAUACCGGAUGAUGUCUUCGGACCAAAGAUUUAUCGCCUUUAGAUGGGCCCGCGUUGGAUUAGCUAGUUGGUGGUGUAAAGGCCUACCAAGGAGACGAUCCAUAGCUGGUCUGAGAGGAUGACCAACCACACUGGGACUGAGACACGGCCCAGACUCCGACGGGAGGGAGCAGAAGGGAGUAUUAGACGAUGGGCGAAAGCCUAGUACAGCAGUGCCGCGUGAGAGAUGAAGGCGUUAGGGUUGUAAAGCUCUCUUAGACGAGAUGAUAAUGACGGUAUCGGGUGAAUAAGCACCGGCUAACUACGUG